AGCCAGAGAGGCUGAAGCUUCUUGCUUCUCUGUGUGGGUUGAGGAUGAAAGAGACGAAUGAGAAGUAAGUAAAAGACCUUGAUGUAUUGCUUUUCUUUUGGGCUGUGAUUUAUUCAAAAGGAAGCUUCAUCCUACAAAGAGCAAACAGCUGUUUGGGUGAUGAAACUGCUAUAUGUAUACAGAGUGUUUUGAUAGCCAGUCUCUUGAUUCUAGAGCACUUUCCAAAUGAAGAGUGGGAGUGGGCCACUGCCCUAAUUGUGGCACGUGUGAGCAGGCUGUGAGAUUGCCCUCCCCAGACACUGCUUCCAAAGGCUUGGAAAUGAGCAGCACUUGCAGUCACAGUGAUGUGGAUCUUGGUAUCAGACUGAGGAUUAUUCUCAUGUAUUUUUCAAACCUCAAACAUGCUCU